rnacentral:rRNA from 1 species
ACGCGAAGAACCUUACCAAGUCUUGACAUCCCGAUGACAGAUUAUGUAAUGUACCUUCUCUUCGGAGCAUCGGUGACAGGUGGUGCAUGGUUGUCGUCAGCUCGUGUCGUGAGAUGUUGGGUUAAGUCCCGCAACGAGCGCAACCCCUGUCCUUAGUAGCCAGCGGUUCGGCCGGGCACUCUAGGGAGACUGCCAGGGAUAACCUGGAGGAAGGCGGGGAUGACGUCAAAUCAUCAUGCCCCUUAUGACUUGGGCUACACACGUGCUACAAUGGCGUAAACAAAGGGAAGCAAAGCCGUGAGGCCGAGCAAAUCUCAAAAAUAACGUCUCAGUUCGGACUGUAGUCUGCAACCCGACUACACGAAGCUGGAAUCGCUAGUAAUCGCAGAUCAGAAUGCUGCGGUGAAUACGUUCCCGGGUCUUGUACACA